GUUUGCGUGCGACAAGUAGUAGUGCACCGCACAGAAUAAAACAUCUGGCUUAUUUUUAAAAUAUCAUUACUCUGUGUUCAAGGCGGAUCCCAUUUCCAUUCAUAAAUCCGGUGUGACGGAGGAAAGGAAAUUAUUCUGAACAUGAAGAGAUCAAAAGAGGAUGGAAAUAUUACAGAGCCAGAACAACAACACAAACGGCGUAAGAUUAAUCUGCUGACGACUGUCCCAUAUGUAGAGAGAGAUACAGAUGAGAGUGGAGGAAAAAAGAAAAACAGUGACUCUGCAAAGCACGAUUUCUGUAUGGACAACAACAACUUAGCUCUUUCUGCAGAACUUACGGAGGCUAAGAACCAGAACGUCUUACUGUCUGCAGAACUUAUGAAGGCUAAAAGCCAAAACAACAUGCUGUGGGCAGAACUUAUGGAGGCUAAGAACCAAAACAACUUGCUGAUUGCAGCAUUUAUGGGAUCCAAUGACCCAAACAACAUGCUGUUCACAGAACUUGGUGAGACAGUGGACCAGAACAUUGUGCUGUCUGCAGACCUUCUGGAGGCUGAGAACCAGAAUGAGAUGCUCUGUGCAGAAAUAAUGGAGUCUAAGAACCUGGAAAUCAUGCUGGCUGCAGAACUUGAGGAGGCUAUAAACCAGAACAACAUGCAGGCUGCAGAACUUGAGGAGGCUAUAAACCAGAACAACAUGCAGGCUGCAGAACUUGAGGAGGCUAUAAACCAGAACAACAUGCAGGUUGCAGAACUUGUGAAGGCUGAGAACCAGAACAACAUAUUGUCUGCAGAACUUAUGGAGUCUCAGAACCUGAUUGAAACUCUGUGUGCAAAACCAUUAGAGCUGGAGAACCAAAACCACACGCUGUCUGAAGAACUUAUGGAGUAUAAGAAGAUGUAUGACACGCUGUCUGCAGAACUUAUGGAGUCUAAGAGCCAAAACCACACGCUGUCUGCAGAACUUAUAGAGUCGAACAACCAAAACCACACGCUGUCUGCAGAACUUAUGGAGUCCAAGAGCCAAAACCACACGCUGUCUGCAGAACUUAUAGAGUCGAACAACCAAAACCACACGCUCUCUGCAGAACUUAUGGAGUAUAAGAAGAUGUAUGACAUGCUGCCUCCAGAACCUUUGGAGUCAGAGAACCAAAACCACAUGCUGUCUGAAGAACUUAUGGAGUAUAAGAAGAUGUAUGACACGCUGUCUGCAGAACUUAUGGAGUCUAAGAGCCAAAACCACACGCUGUCUGCAGAACUUAUAGAGUCAAACAACCAAAAUCACACGCUCUCUGCAGAACUUAUGGAGUAUAAGAAGGUGUAUGACACGCUGUCUGCAGAACUUAUGGAGUAUAAGAAGGUGUAUGACAUGCUGCCUCCAGAACCUUUGGAGUCAGAGAACCAAAACCACAUGCUGUCUGAAGAACUUAUGGAGUAUAAGAAGAUGUAUGACACGCUGUCUGCAGAACUUAUGGAGUCUAAGAGCCAAAACCACACGCUGUCUGCAGAACUUAUAGAGUCAAACAACCAAAAUCACACGCUCUCUGCAGAACUUAUGGAGUAUAAGAAGGUGUAUGACACGCUGUCUGCAGAACUUAUGGAGUAUAAGAAGGUGUAUGACACGCUGUCUGCAGAAUUAUGGAGUCUAAGGGCCAAAACCACUGGCUGUCUGCAGAACUUAUAGAGUCUAACAACCAAAAUCACAUGCUCUCUGCAGAACUUAUGGAGUCAAAGAACUAAAACUGCACGCUGUCUGCAGAACUCAUGGAGGCUAAGAACCAGCUGAACAUGCUGUCUACACAACUUCACUCAGUUGGGAACAGUUCUGUGCUCACUGCACAACACGAUCAGUUAUGUUCCCAUUGCAUCA
rnacentral:lncRNA from 1 species